rnacentral:rRNA from 1 species
AUUGAACGCUGGCGGCAUGCUUUACACAUGCAAGUCGAACGGUAACAGGGUGCUUGCACCGCUGACGAGUGGCGAACGGGUGAGUAAUGCGUCGGAACGUGCCGAGUAGUGGGGGAUAACGCAUCGAAAGGUGUGCUAAUACCGCAUACGUACUGAGGUAGAAAGUGGGGGACCUUCGGGCCUCACGCUAUUCGAGCGGCCGACGUCUGAUUAGCUAGUUGGUGAGGUAAAGGCUCACCAAGGCGACGAUCAGUAGCGGGUCUGAGAGGAUGAGCCGCCAGACUGGGACUGAGACACGGCCCAGACUCCUACGGGAGGCAGCAGUGGGGAAUUUUGGACAAUGGGCGCAAGCCUGAUCCAGCCAUGCCGCGUGUCUGAAGAAGGCCUUCGGGUUGUAAAGGACUUUUGUCCGGGAGCAAAUACCCAGUGCUAAUAACGCUGGGGGCUGAGAGUACCGGGAGAAUAAGCACCGGCUAACUACGUGCCAGCCGCCGCCGUAA